GGGCUCUUCCUGGGGACAACAGGAGAAGAAAAGCAGGCAGACAACGUGGAAGCUGCCCAGCUGGCCCAGUUGAAAACACAUGGAUCAGAGAUGAACUGCCCAGCCAAUGCUUCUUGAAUUCCUGACCUAAAACAUCAAGUCACGGUAGAAAGAUAAUAUGUCCCAAAAGAGCACCUCAGCGAGUAAGAGUUUCAAGAUACGUCCCAGUUGUUUCCAAGCCCACUAGAAUCCGAGCAUCAGGGGGAGGAAGUAGCGACAUUCCUGACUCAUGACCGGGCAUCACAUCUUUGGAUGGAGAAGCAGUCUGAUAAAGGCCAUGAACAAUGUGAACUUUGACAACAGGAAAAGAAGUGUGGUAUGGGGUAGGUACCCAAGGAAGUAAGAAAACAUUUCUCUCUCUGGGAUUAUGCUUGGAAUAUGUGACAGAAAUGUCAGAAAUAAAGAAGAAAACCACUAGAGUUUCUCUAAACAUCAGUUCCCCGGUUAAUGAAACCUCCAAUAUCAGAUCAAGUUACUCCACCUUAGUUCAACCAUUGCUUAUUGACCCCCACAGGAUGCAGAGCCCUUGCAGCAGCAGCCUGUCGGGGUCCACUUGUGCUGUAGCCCCUGUGUUUACCAAGGUAACCUACCCACACUGCAUGAUGGAGUUUGGAUUUUAUAGAUAAACUGUAGGGAUUAUAAAAGAGGUAAGAAGAAGGAAAGAAGAAACUAGAAAGGACAUCAGAGAUUAUAAUUAUUAUAUAUGAGAAAACUGUGUCCGAGAAAGCAUGAAAUUGUUGUUCAAUGUCACAAAGCAACUCAGGUUUAUCCUAUGCUCUUCAGACUUUUGCUCUGUGGCAAUUCUCCAGCUCUGGAAGGCAAUGCUUAGACUAUCCUCUCCAAACAGACUAUGCUCUGCCUAACCUCAAGAUUCACCAGAUUCUUUCAAAUGGCCAUAAAAUAUCCUUCUGAAGAAGUCAAUGAGCAAAGCCAUGUCUAUUUCCUGCUUGGGUCACAGUCAGAGAUUAGGACUAAGAAGCCUCCUCUAUCACCCACUGGAAGUGGCAGGAUUCAAUCAGCUAGGUUAAACCAAGCUAAGGGUGAUAUCUUCUCUAGGCUUUCUGUUCCCCAGUUUCCAAACCUGAGAACUGGAACCACUGCCACUGCUGGCCCGAGGUAUAAGAAGCACGACAGGGAGAAAGAGGAAACAACGUCAGUAAGAGUCAGGGGCAUUACUAUCAAUUCAGGAAGCUCACUUUCAGCAGAUGCUAUCAGACACAUGUGUCUAUCAUUUCCACAAGUCUCCUCUCCUGCUGCAUUCCUUCUCUAUAUUUCCUGCAGUAUCAGGCUCAAGGGCUGGGCCGGUGGUCAUUAUGUCUUAACCUCAGCACCACCUCUCUGGUCUGAGGGCAAAGUUAUAAUCUGAAAUGUAAUUCUAGAUUCUAGAGCACUCUGUCACUAGGAACAGGAGAGGAGGAAGAUUAGGAUUUAAGGGGUAAAUGUACCAGAAAUGCUGCUCAUUCAUAUGUGCAUUAUGAGACUAUACUAGCUAUCAUUAACAAAUACUUUUUAUAUAUCGAUAUAACUCUCCAUUCUUUAAAGAAAGUUUGCAGGUUAUUUCUCUGAAAUGAGCCUCAAAAUCACAAAUAAGGCAAGUUUUUUGCUAGUCCUACUUCACAGAUAAAGAACAUAGUUCCACAAAGGUUAAGAGUCUUCCAAAUUCCUAUGAUGAACUACUGGCAGAGUUGUGAUUUUGGCCAAAUUCCUCUAAGUCAUGAUCCUUAACAAAUUACAACACUGCCUGCCCAUACAGCUAGACCAAUAAUAAAGAUUAAAUCUAUGAUUUCAUAGGUACUCAAUAAAAUAAUACAACAAAGUAAACAUUUUUUAGCUAAUUAGUCUUCUGUUUUGAAAAAAAAAUGGCUCUUGAAGAAGUGACUAACAACUUUCUCAUCAAACACAACUCCAUGAAACUGAUACAGACAACUUACACUUGACUGUAAACCACACUACAAAGCACAAAAGAUGCCCAGCAAGCUCCUUAUUUUGAUUAUGGUACAGGCAGUUGUCAAAAACUAUGAUGAAAAAGCAUGCACACUUACUGCAAUUGGCAUCCCAAACCACUGUAUACGGUGAAACAAUUUCUUCCAUUCUGUGACUUAUGUGUUUGUUCUUUAGCAUCUUCAAGACAUCUCUACAACCAGAGGUCAGUUUGUCGUGUUUGAAUGCCGAGUCCAGGCCACAGCCACAGUUCAAGUUCACUGGUACAGAGAGAAAGAGCAGAUAGCAGACUCAGAUGACUUCCGAAUUCUGAGGAAAAGUACAGUGAUAAACUUUCCAAUUUACUUUUCAUUGUGAUUGACCUUGAAAUCUAAUUCAUGUUUUAACAUUUAAUAGCUGAGUUGCUACACGGUGAGAAAUUUCUACUGUUAAACAAUUAUUUCAAAUCCAAAUGAUUCCUCAACAUAAACAACUGAAAAAGAAAAAAUUGCUGUUUUGCUCUGAUGAAAUAACAGCUUUAAUAGCUUUGAAAAAAAAAA
rnacentral:lncRNA from 1 species